UGAUCUAAUUGUUGAAACGCUAGGAUAAUCAACCGUCAUCGGUGAUUUAUUCUCAUUCGUUCCAGUCUCCACCCUUGAAUUGAAUCCACACACACAUGAGAGAGAGAACCGAGAUGACGCCGGGUCAGUGAUGAUGGUGUACGGAUGAUGGCGGUGGUAGGUUGUGGACAAAGCGAAGCCCGACGAUGGCUUUAGGGUUCCGUCGCAAGUCAGUCAAUGGGUUAUUAGGAUUCGGGCAGAGCCAUACCUAGGGUUCCGAUUGACAAUUCCAGAGGUGUAAUCGGUGUUUAAAAGGACGGAUUGAAACAACCCCUCUUCAUCUCGCCAAAACGCUAAUCGAUUCGUCAACCACCACAUCUUCAGAAGAGAUCAACGUCAUCCACAGUGGCACCACAACGCUUUCACUGAGUUCGAGAAAGUGUUCGAUCGGAUUGGAUGUUCAUAGCAUGCUUCAUUCACGCGCAUGGGUAACACACGAUUGAUUAUACGUAUCAACAACGGAGAUUUGUAUGAGUUAACAACCUGAAAUUUGAUUAAUCGUGAUUACGGUGCCUUUCCAAGUUCCAAUGAUUGACAGGAGAAGACUUGAUUACACCAUGCCAUUGUAGAGGCACCCAAAAAUAUGUCCACAGGUCAUGUCUUGACAAUUGGAGGUCUGCCAGGGAGGGGUUUGCUUUCUCUCACUGCACAGAAUGUAAGGCUGUGUUUAUCCUACGUGCGAAUGUCCCACCAGAUCGCUGGUGGUUGAGGUUGAAAUUUCAGUUACUGGUUGCAAGAGACCAUGCAUUCAUUUUCAUCAUUGACUCAUUGUCCAACUGAUUGUUGCCUUCUUAGGUGUGUUGGUCUACAAAUUUUAUGGAGAUGAACCGAGACAAAGGUUAAGGUCACAGUUGAUAUAACACCAGAUUUAAUUGUUACCUAUUUAGUGCACAAAAAUUAACACCAUUAUUUGUCUGUCAUCGUUUUGGGUUUGCCAAUGACUUUAUUCACUAUUUGGUUAUAUUUCAUAUUUUUAAGCUAAAUAGGCUUGUUAGAUUAAAGGUCUGGUACAAGAAAUCUGAUCUAUUACAACUGCUGUUAUCACAAGUUCAGGUCUUUGAUGCUGCUGGGUCUCGGAGCUUGUUCAGGCUGCAUUGCUAUGGCCGCUGAGCGCUGGACGCAUUCAUAUGGACCUGGUUGCAUUAUUGGAACAAGCUUGUUCUGUACAGUCUGCAGACUGCAAGUAUAAAGCUCCUGCUGCACUGGACGGGAGCUUCAGGCUGCUUUUAUAUGGCUGUUAGAAGCUGGUCGCAUCAAACUUUACUCCGGACCUGCAUUGGUAGCAUUUUUACUGGAAAAGGUCCUGGUUUAUACGUUUGGGCUGGUCAUCUUUUAAAGGCCCAGUUCUGGUUUAUUAGUCAGACUCAAAGGGACUAGGAUUGGGCUGUUAUACUUCACCGUAAAGUGCUGAAAUACAGGGAUGUGUUGCUGUGUCUCUGGGAUGUUACGGGGGAAUGCCCCCUUGGUGUAAUUUUUUCAUUGUGUGUUAUAUAGUUUGCCGGGCGAUGCCCUUUAUUCAAAAAAAAAAAGUUUAUAUUAAAAACCAA